GAUGAGCCAAGAUUUGUAGCCAUAAGCUAUUAAUGAUUUUAACUGAAGAGUUUGAUCAUGGCUCAGAUUGAACGCUGGCGGCAGGCUUAACACAUGCAAGUCGAGCGGGGAAGGGUAGCUUGCUACCUGACCUAGCG
rnacentral:rRNA from 1 species